rnacentral:rRNA from 1 species
GACGAACGCUGGCGGCGUGCCUAAUACAUGCAAGUUGAGCGAUGAAGAUUGGUGCUUGCCCCAAUUUGAAGAGCAGCGAACGGGUGAGUAACGCGUGGGGAAUCUGCCUUUGAGCGGGGGACAACAUUUGGAAACGAAUGCUAAUACCGCAUAACAACUUUAAACAUAAGUUUUAAGUUUGAAGGAUGCAAUUGCAUCACUCAAAGAUGAUCCCGCGUUGUAUUAGCUAGUUGGUGAGGUAAAGGCUCACCAAGGCGAUGAUACAUAGCCGACCUGAGAGGGUGAUCGGCCACAUUGGGACUGAGACACGGCCCAAACUCCUACGGGAGGCAGCAGUAGGGAAUCUUCGGCAAUGGACGAAAGUCUGACCGAGCAACGCCGCGUGAGGAAAGAAGGUUUUCGGAUCGUAAAACUCUGUUGGUAGAGAAGAACGUUGGUGAGAGUGGAAAGCUCAUCAAGUGACGGUAACUACCCAGAAAGGGACGGCUAACUACGUG